UCAGGUAGUUGGCUUCACGGUCGUCAACAGGUAGUAGGCUUCACGGUCGUCAACAGGUAGUAGGCUUCACGGUCGUCAACAGGUAGUAGGCUUCACGGUCGUCAACAGGUAGUAGGCUUCACGGUCGUCAACAGGUAGUAGGCAUCACGGUCGUCAACGGGUAGUAGGCAUCACGGUCGUCAACGGGUAGUAGGCUUCACGGUCGUCAACAGGUAGUAGGCUUCACGGUCGUCAACAGGUAGUAGGCAUCACGGUCGUCAACGGGUAGUGGGCU